rnacentral:tRNA from 1 species
CCGGCCUUAGCUCAGUUGGUAGAGCGGAAGACUGUAGUGUUACUGUCAUCUUUAGGUCGCUAGUUCGAAUCUGGCAGGCCGGA